AUUGGACGCUGGCGGCAUGCCUUACACAUGCAAGUCGAACGGCAGCGGACCUUCGGGUGCCGGCGAGUGGCGAACGGGUGAGUAAUAUAUCGGAACGUACCUUUCAGUGGGGGAUAACGUAGCGAAAGUUACGCUAAUACCGCAUAUUCUGUGAGCAGGAAAGCAGGGGAUCGCAAGACCUUGCGCUGAUUGAGCGGCCGAUAUCAGAUUAGCUAGUUGGUGAGGUAAAGGCUCACCAAGGCGACGAUCUGUAGCGGGUCUGAGAGGAUGAUCCGCCACACUGGAACUGAGACACGGUCCAGACUCCUACGGGAGGCAGCAGUGGGGAAUUUUGGACAAUGGGCGCAAGCCUGAUCCAGCCAUGCCGCGUGAGUGAAGAAGGCCUCGGUG
rnacentral:rRNA from 1 species